rnacentral:rRNA from 1 species
AUUGAACGCUGGCGGCAGGCCUAACACAUGCAAGUCGAGCGGAUGAGGGGUGCUUGCACCCCGAUUCAGCGGCGGACGGGUGAGUAAUGCCUAGGAAUCUGCCCGAUAGUGGGGGACAACGUUUCGAAAGGAACGCUAAUACCGCAUACGUCCUACGGGAGAAAGUGGGGGCUCUUCGGACCUCACGCUACCGGAUGAGCCUAGGUCGGAUUAGCUAGUUGGUGGGGUAAAGGCUCACCAAGGCGACGAUCCGUAACUGGUCUGAGAGGAUGAUCAGCCACACUGGAACUGAGACACGGUCCAGACUCCUACGGGAGGCAGCAGUGGGGAAUAUUGGACAAUGGGCGAAAGCCUGAUCCAGCCAUGCCGCGUGUGUGAAGAAGGUCCUCGGAUUGUAAAGCACUUUAAGUCGGGAGGAAGGGCUGCAGGUUAAUACCUUGCAGCCUUGACGUUACCGACAGAAUAAGCACCGGCUAACUUCGUGCCAGCCGCCGCCGUAA